rnacentral:rRNA from 1 species
UAGUCCACGCCGUAAACGAUGUCUACUUGGAGGUUGUGGCCUUGAGCCGUGGCUUUCGGAGCUAACGCGUUAAGUAGACCGCCUGGGGAGUACGGUCGCAAGAUUAAAACUCAAAUGAAUUGACGGGGGCCCGCACAAGCGGUGGAGCAUGUGGUUUAAUUCGAUGCAACGCGAAGAACCUUACCUACUCUUGACAUCCAGAGAACUUAGCAGAGAUGCUUUGGUGCCUUCGGGAACUCUGAGACAGGUGCUGCAUGGCUGUCGUCAGCUCGUGUUGUGAAAUGUUGGGUUAAGUCCCGCAACGAGCGCAACCCUUGUCUCCAGUUGCCAGCACGUAAUGGUGGGGACUCUGGAGAGACUGCCGGCGCAAGCCGCGAGGAAGGUGGGGAUGACGUCAAAUCAUCAUGGGCCUUUAUGCCUGGGGGCUACACACGUGCUACAAUGGUAGUACAGAGGGCAGCCAAA